rnacentral:ncRNA from 1 species
CGCAUGGGGAAGCGGUCUCCCCGUUAGGCAGCAUGCCCAAGAAUCGCGUCCGGUUUUCCGAGAAGGACGCUCCAUG